AUUUUAGCUAAUUAAAUAAUGCUAGAGUGUCUUAGAAACUACAAAAGCAAACGAAACCACACGGCAGUCACACUAUAUUUGUUAAGACCACUUGUGUAUUUCUGAGAUGUUUAGAAAAUUGAAGUCUGCAUAACAAAACUUUUAAAGAGAGUCAGAGGCUCAAAAUGCUGUGGCUGGCAUAAUUGGAAAGGUAGGAGAAGAACAACUGAAAGAGAAUUUUCAUAAAAAUAAUCAUUGUUCAGGAUAUGAAUGGGGAGAGAAUAGAAUUGUUUCCCUAGGUAUGGUAUAGCAGCUUAACGGUUCUGAAAAUUGUGUAUUGUAUGUGCGUGCAUGUGUGUGUUUCACACUAUGUCACAUGUGUUAUUUACAGGAUGGAAUUGCUAUUUCUAGGCCAGAGAAUCAGCAUUAACUAUAUAUUAUAUUUAGGUAUGAAUGAAAGCUGAUCUCUAGCAUCCUCUUUCAUUUUUGGGGGACAAGAUGGCUGCUGUGAUCUGUGAACAUGCUCUUGCAGAGCAGUUCCAGUACCCAUGGAUAUGACCUUCUUAUACUCAUUCCAUAUUUUAAACAGAAAAGUAGAGGUGAGGAAAUUUGUAUUCAGUAUUCAUUUGAAGAAGGUGCAGAUGAAUUUUAUGCUGUUUGCCAAGUUAGUUUUCAUUUGAUUAAAUAACAUGUUUGCAUUGAAAAGAAGAAGCUGGAGGUCUAAGGAGGACGACAACCCACCAGUCGAUGAUGAGCAGGCACAUCUGCUGCACCGAGCAUCCCAUGGGUGGUGGUGAGUUGUGUGAUGAU
rnacentral:lncRNA from 1 species